rnacentral:rRNA from 1 species
GACGAACGCUGGCGGCGUGCUUAACACAUGCAAGUCGAACGGUAAGGCCCUUCGGGGUACACGAGUGGCGAACGGGUGAGUAACACGUGGGUGAUCUGCCCUGCACUUCGGGAUAAGCCUGGGAAACUGGGUCUAAUACCGGAUAGGACUCCUGGCUUCAUGGUUGGGGGUGGAAAGCUUUUGCGGUGUGGGAUGGGCCCGCGGCCUAUCAGCUUGUUGGUGGGGUAAUGGCCUACCAAGGCGACGACGGGUAGCCGGCCUGGGAGGGUGACCGGUCACACUGGGACUGAGAUACGGCCCAGACUCCUACGGGAGGCAGCAGUGGGGAAUAUUGCACAAUGGGCGCAAGCCUGAUGCAGCGACGCCGCGUGAGGGAUGACGGCCUUCGGGUUGUAAACCUCUUUCAGUAGGGACGAAGCGCAAGUGACGGUACCUACAGAAGAAGGACCGGCCAACUACGUGCCAGCAGCCGCCGUAA